CCUACGGGAGGCAGCAGUGAGGAAUAUUGGUCAAUGGACGAGAGUCUGAACCAGCCAAGUAGCGUGAAGGAUGACUGCCCUAUGGGUUGUAAACUUCUUUUAUAUGGGAAUAAAACGUUCCACGUGUGGGAUUUUGUAUGUACCAUAUGAAUAAGGAUCGGCUAACUCCGUGCCAGCAGCCGCGGUAAUACGGAGGAUCCGAGCGUUAUCCGGAUUUAUUGGGUUUAAAGGGAGCGUAGGUGGAGUGUUAAGUCAGUUGUGAAAGUUUGCGGCGCAACCGUAAAAUUGCAGUUGAAACUGGCAGUCUUGAGUACAGUAGAGGUGGGCGGAAUUCGUGGUGUAGCGGUGAAAUGCUUAGAUAUCACGAAGAACUCCGAUUGCGAAGGCAGUUCACUGGACUGAAACUGACACUGAGGCUCGAAAGUGUGGGUAUCAAACAGGAUUAGAUACCCCUGUAGUC
rnacentral:rRNA from 1 species